UUGCAACGCUUUCCCCUUAUUUUACCGUAUAUACUGUAGUUAUAUGGUACAGGCCGGUUUGGGGGGGCGUUUUCAAGAAAUCCCUCCAAAAUCUUUACACAGGGUUGAGUUCAGGGCGGGAUUUCAGAAGUUUGGUACAAUUACACACCUAAGACUUUUUUGGAAAGUGAUUAUACUUGGUAUAACCUAAAUCAGUGGGUUAUUUAACGCGAUCGGUUUCUCAUGCGCCCCUCUUUUUCCUUCAGCCGAUGGAUCGGUUCAGUUAUUCCGAAGAAAGGGACUUGUUUUGCGCGAGCCAACUUCGUUACUUUGGCUGAGUUCCGGUUGUCGUGCUUCGCAGUUAGCUUGAUAGCGGUUAGCUAAACAAGCUGCAAGACAUGUAAACAUUACGCAUAGAAGGUUCCGGUUUGUUUUUCUCCACCUUAAACAAAAUGACGAUGUGAUUCAGCUGAAUAAACUGCCAGAGAAAUUGGAAAUCGCAACUUUGCAUUCCUAUAAUAAUAAUAACAAUAAUCGAGCGGUUUCUUCUUCGUUGGUGCGGGCGGUUUUCUUCUUCGGUGGUGUGAGUAACGCGUAAUGAAAUUACUCGGGCAAAAAGUCAUCCCAGAUGAUUUCCUCCAUAUCUGAACGCUUAUAUGGAUGGAUUAUCCUGCGAUUAUUUAUUUAGGGAACUCGAGAUCUUGCCUGCUUUUUCUGUCGUGCCUUUUUUUUUUAUUUUAAAAGAAAUCUGACUUGAAUUUGGAGAGCCAGACACUAUCUGUACAUCAUCAUCAUCGCCUCCCUACUCCUUUUUUUCUCCUUUCUUUCCUGCAGCUGGAUUUCAGUCUGGGAUCCCUGGUAAAGUGUGUCUGAGGGAAGUCUGAAACUGUGAUUACAUUUUGUACAGUCUUUAGUUAAAGCAUUAGAUAACGCUGAUCACACUCAGGAAAAUCAGACCAAAAAAAAAAAAAAAAAGCUAUGAAAACCCUGAGCUGAGUUCUUCAGAGCCUUGUGGAUAUCUGUUCGAACAGAUAAUCGCCUCUUUGGGCCACCAUGCCUGGCCCUGUGGCUGGCAGCACAGCUCGCGUCUACACUGAUGUGAACACUUUGAAGAGCAGGGAAUACUGGGAUUAUGAAGCUCAUGUGCCAAACUGGAGUAAUCAGGAGGACUAUCAGCUGGUGCGGAAGUUGGGCCGGGGGAAGUACAGCGAGGUGUUCGAGGCCGUUAAUGUCAGUAACAGCGAGAAAGUGGUGGUGAAGAUCCUGAAGCCUGUCAAGAAGAAAAAGAUCAAACGAGAAAUCAAAAUCCUAGAAAACCUGAGAGGAGGAACCAACAUCAUCCGGCUCGUGGAUACAGUAAAGGACCCUGUGUCCCGAACUCCUGCUCUUGUCUUCGAGUGCAUCAAUAACACUGAUUUCAAGGAGCUGUACCAGAAGUUAACAGAUUUUGAUAUCCGUUAUUACAUGUACGAACUACUAAAGGCCCUGAACUACUGCCACAGUAUGGGCAUCAUGCACCGUGACGUCAAACCCCACAACGUCAUGAUCGAUCAUCAGUUGAGGAAGCUGAGGCUGAUAGAUUGGGGUCUGGCUGAGUUCUAUCACCCUGCACAGGAGUACAAUGUCCGAGUGGCAUCUCGCUACUUCAAGGGUCCUGAGCUGCUCGUGGAUUACCAAAUGUAUGACUACAGUCUGGACAUGUGGAGUCUGGGCUGCAUGCUGGCCAGUAUGAUUUUCAGGAAGGAGCCGUUCUUCCACGGUCAGGACAACUACGACCAGUUGGUGCGGAUUGCUAAAGUCCUCGGAACCGACGAGCUCUUCGGCUACCUGCGAAAAUAUCACAUUGAACUGGACCCGCGCUUUAAGGACCUGCUUGGCCAGCAGACGAGGAAGCGCUGGGAGCAGUUUGUGCAGGCAGAGAAUCAGCACCUGGUGAGUCCUGAGGCUCUGGACCUGCUGGAUAAACUACUGCGCUACGACCACCAGCAGAGACUCACCGCCACCGAAGCCAUGGAGCACCCCUACUUCUACCCAGUGCUGCAGGAACAAUCUCUUACCAAUGCGAAUAACACUGUAGGAUCAGAAGGAUCUCAUGCAGCUCGGUGAACAGUCAGUGACCGCCUGAAGUCUGGAACCCAUGGGCAUCACCAAAUGCUGAGUUUCUUCCCUUGAGAUGCUUUGCCAGACCUUUACUGCAGCUGCCUUCGGUUUCUGCUUGUUUGUGGGUUCUUCUGCCCUCAGUUUUGUUUUCAAUUUUCCGAAAGCUGAAAAUAACUUGUUACCUCAGUUUACCCUUCGUGGCAGAAACCUCUCAAUGUGUACAGCUGAAGAUGGGGGGGAAAAACAGUAUUGACCAGUUUACACCUUACACACAAUGUUGUCCUUCUUCGUAUCAGUGAAGGUUGGUCUGUCCCCUGUACCUCCACAGGCGCUGGAGCCGUUUUAGUUUGGAGAUCAUGAACCUCAUGCCUCCUGUUUUAUUGAUAAGUGAGGAGUUGUUGGAGAUGUCAGGCCAGUCUCUGCCCCCUCGUACCGUGACCCUGCCUUCGAUCUAGCCGUGAAGAGUGAAGCACAGAUGAAACCCCGCCCUCCCUGUCCUUCUCACUGGUCUGUCUGUGUGUUCAGUAUUCAGACCCCUGUGUGGUGUCUUAUGCACCACCACACACACACAAGUGGCAUAUUGGACCUCAUUUCUCUUUGCUCUAGGUAGAAAAGUAUUAAUGACAAUAAAUGACUUUUAUUUAAA